rnacentral:lncRNA from 1 species
UGUAGUUUGCUUUUGAAUGCUCAUUUGUGCCAUUUGGGGAAGUUGGAGCCAGGGUUGACUUAAAAGAUGCAGGGGUUACAGAGGAUGAUGUAGAUUGCUUUAAGGACGAAAGAGGUACAUUACUUGAGAAUAUAAAAGGUUUAGAAGACAGUGGAGAUGGCUCAGAGUGUGAUGUUUGAAAUUUUAGGAUAGGUGAUGUGUUCUUUUCAACCUGUUUGUUGGUGGCUUUUGAAUGCUCAUUUGUGGCAUUUGGGGAAGUUGGAGCCAGAGUUGACUUAAAAGAUGCAGGGGUUACAGAGGAUGAUGUAGAUUGCUUUAAGGACGAAAGAGGUACAUUACUUGAGAAUGUAAAAGGUUUAGAAGACAGUGGAGAUGGCUCAGAGUGUGAUGUUUGAAAUUUUAGGAUAGGUGAUGUGCUCUUUUCAACCUGUUUGUUGGUGGCUUUUGUCUGUUGAUUGGUCACAUUUGAGAAAGCCGGAGUCAAAGUUAGUUUAAAAGAUGGUGGGUGCUUAAAGGAUAAUGGAGAAGACUCCGAGGAAGAUAAUGAUGCUUU